rnacentral:rRNA from 1 species
AGCAGCCGCGGUAAUUCCAGCUCCAAUAGCGUAUAUUAAAGUUGUUGCAGUUAAAAAGCUCGUAGUUGAAUUUUAGGCCUGGCCGGGCGGUCCGUCUUUGGCGAGUACUGUCUUGUUGUCGGGUCUUCCUUCUGGUGAACCAGUAUGUCCUUUAUUGGGUGUGUUGGGGAGCCAGGACCAUUACCUUGAAAAAAUUAGAGUGUUUAAAGCGGGCUAUUGCUUGAAUAGAUUAGCAUGGAAUAAUAGAAUAGGACGUUGUGGUUCUAUUUUGUUGGUUUCUAGGACCACCGUAAUGAUUAAUAGGGAUAGUUGGGGGCAUUAGUAUUCAAUUGUCAGAGGUGAAAUUCUUGGAUUUAUUGAAGACUAACUAUUGCGAAAGCAUUUGCCAAGGAUGUUUUCAUUAAUCAAGAACGAAAGUUAGGGGAUCGAAGACGAUCAGAUACCGUCGUAGUCUUAACCAUAAACUAUGCCGACUAGGAAUCGGGCGACGUUAUUUCACGACUCGCUCGGCGCCUUAUGG